AGGACGAACGCUGGCGGCGCGCUUAACACAUGCAAGUCGAGCGAGAACCUUUCCUUCGGGAUUGGGGACAGCGGCGAACGGGUGAGUAACACGUGGGUAAUCUGCCCUUGACAUCGGGAUAGCCCGGGGAAACCCGGAUUAAUACCGAAUAGCCUCCGGAGCCCUCGGGCGCCGGAGAAAAGGUAGCUUCGGCCUCUGGUCAAGGAUGAGCCCGCGGCGGAUUAGCUUGUUGGCGGGGUAAUGGCCCACCAAGGCGACGAUCC
rnacentral:rRNA from 1 species